AUUGAACGCUGGCGGCAGGCUUAACACAUGCAAGUCGAGCGGAGAUGAGGUGCUUGCACCUUAUCUUAGCGGCGGACGGGUGAGUAAUGCUUAGGAAUCUGCCUAUUAGUGGGGGACAACAUUCCGAAAGGAAUGCUAAUACCGCAUACGUCCUACGGGAGAAAGCAGGGGAUCUUCGGACCUGCGCUAAUAGAUGAGCCUAAGUCGGAUUAGCUAGUUGGUGGGGUAAAGGCCUACCAAGGCGACGAUCUGUAGCGGGUCUGAGAGGAUGAUCCGCCACACUGGGACUGAGACACGGCCCAGACUCCUACGGGAGGCAGCAGUGGGGAAUAUUGGACAAUGGGGGGAACCCUGAUCCAGCCAUGCCGCGUGUGUGAAGAAGGCCUUAUGGUUGUAAAGCACUUUAAGCGAGGAGGAGGCUACUGAGACUAAUACUCUUGGAUAGUGGACGUUACUCGCAGAAUAAGCACCGGCUAACUCUGUGCCAGCCGCCGCGGUAAUAC
rnacentral:rRNA from 1 species